GAUCCUGGCUCAGGAUGAACGCUGGCGGCGUGCUUAACACAUGCAAGUCGAGCGAAGCACUCUGUCUUUGAUUCUUUCGGGAUGAAGAGCAUUGUGACUGAGCGGCGGACGGGUGAGUAGCGCGUGGGUAACCUGCCUCAUACAGGGGGAUAACAGUUAGAAAUGGCUGCUAAUACCGCAUAAGACCACAGCACCGCAUGGUGCAGGGGUAAAAACUCCGGUGGU
rnacentral:rRNA from 1 species